GCUUCCCUGGCGCCUUCUUCCCUCGGCUUUUUGGGUGUUUUCUGUAGCAUUUCUGCAACUGGUGCAAACUUCUGCGGGCGCGCAGCAGCGUGAGGAGGAGGCGCGGAGCGUCCGGCGAAGGGCUCGUUAGGGAUGGGCUUUAAUGGGCUGUUGGUGUCGGGUCAGGCUGCUGUGUCUGCUGGGCUAACAUCUCUGAGCUUGGGCCGGAAUAAGUAAUGGACACUUGUUUGAUUAAGGGACACUAACAGUACUGCCAUUGUUCGCUUGCUGUCCUGAUUUUUUUCUUUUUUUUUCUUCUUUUUUUUUUUUUUUUUCGUGAAGUCUCUUUGGAUUUAUUUGUACCAAAUUAAGGCAGUGGAAAAAAGUCCUACCUAAAAAAAAAAAUAAAAAAAAAAAAAUGGUUGCCACCUCUCUCUCCUGACUUCUUCAGUCCUUCGGAUGAAGAGCCUGCGAAAGUUGGAUGGGAGCUGUGUCCGUGUGUCUGCGGUGUUUGCAAAGGAGCAAAUGCCAGCAUGACUAGGGUCUGAGGAAGUGCUUCUGUGUUCCGACCAAGGGUUCGUGGGUGCAGAGGAAGGGUGCAAGGACAGCAGGGACACUCUGAGCUACCAUGGAUAUCCCCACCGAUUUGGUGCCGUCCUCCAUGAUGUCCCAACCUGAGGUGACUGAGUCCACAGCCAUGAGCGAACCACAGUGCUACUACAAUGAAACCAUUGCCUUCUUUUAUAACCGAAGUGGAAAAUAUCUAGCCACUGAAUGGAACACUGUCAGCAAGCUUGUAAUGGGACUGGGGAUUACCGUCUGCAUCUUCAUAAUGCUGGCCAACCUCUUGGUUAUGGUGGCUAUUUAUGUCAACCGCCGAUUCCACUUUCCUAUUUAUUACUUAAUGGCCAACUUAGCCGCUGCGGACUUUUUUGCAGGGCUGGCCUACUUUUACUUAAUGUUCAACACAGGACCCAACACUAGAAGAUUGACUGUAAGCACCUGGCUUCUCCGUCAGGGUCUCAUUGACACUAGCCUGACAGCCUCUGUAGCCAAUUUGUUGGCUAUUGCUAUUGAGCGGCACAUUACAGUUUUCCGAAUGCAGCUACAUACUCGAAUGAGCAACCGGCGAGUGGUGGUCGUAAUUGUUGUUAUCUGGACUAUGGCCAUCGUCAUGGGCGCCAUACCAAGUGUCGGAUGGAACUGUAUUUGUGAUAUCACUCACUGCUCCAACAUGGCACCGCUCUAUAGUGACUCCUACCUGGUCUUCUGGGCUAUUUUCAACCUGGUCACUUUCGUUGUCAUGGUGGUCCUAUAUGCACAUAUCUUUGGGUACGUCCGACAAAGGACUAUGAGAAUGUCCAGACACAGUUCUGGACCCCGCAGGAAUCGGGACACCAUGAUGAGCCUCCUGAAGACUGUGGUCAUUGUGCUUGGUGCUUUCAUAAUCUGCUGGACCCCAGGAUUAGUCUUGCUGCUCCUCGAUGUUUGCUGUCCCCAGUGCAACGUCCUGGCCUAUGAAAAAUUCUUCCUGCUCCUGGCGGAGUUCAACUCCGCCAUGAACCCCAUCAUCUACUCCUACCGGGACAAGGAGAUGAGCGCAACCUUCAAGCAGAUCCUCUGCUGCCAGCGCAGCGAGAGCGCCAACGGCCCCACCGAAGGCUCGGACCGGUCGGCGUCCUCGCUCAACCACACCAUCUUGGCUGGCGUCCACAGUAACGACCACUCGGUGGUGUAAAAUCGCAGCCAGCCGUGCGGCCGACGAAGAGCGGCGGGCUGUGCCGCGGAGCGGGGGAGCCCGACACACCGGCGCGGUCCAACCCCUCCGCAGGACUGGCUGUGCUGCAAGGCCUUUGAUUUCUACUUUCAAAAAGUAGAAGGCAGAUGCCUUGUGGCGGAGGUCGUUGGUAGCCCAUGGAAAGCCUCUCUGAGACUUCGUCGGACUUCGCUGCAUCUUGGUGCCAGUCUGAAUCAACUCUGAUUAAUUAAGCUUAUACCUGCUUCACUGCAUUUACAUGUAGCCACUUAGUCUUUUUAAAAAGGGAGUAAAGGGGAUAAAAGUAUGCCUAUCAUUUAAUAGACAUGUAAUAUUUAUCACCAUCAGCAUGCUUGUGAUGAACAUUUUCUGUGCAGGGAGUAAAACAGUGCUCUAGUCUUCAUAUCCUUAGCCACACUGCCAUAACUACAGUAAAAACAAAAGUUUUUUUUUCUAAUACAGGCAUCAGGAAGAUGAUGGAAACUGGCUCUUCUUACCUUCAUUACUGGUGUUAGAAAGCAUGCAUGUUCUGUGUGUAUGCAGAUUGUUUUAAUUAUGAAAAAAAAAAAGCUCGUUGUAAUGUCUACAGGAAAGUAGAAAAGCAUAGACUGUAUUCCAGUGUUUGUUUAGAUUAUGAAAUAAACAGUACUCUAGUCACAAGGUAUUUAACGUUCUUCUUUGAAGUGCGGUAUGAAAUGUGUAACAUGUGAGGGGUCCCAAGUUUUUCAUGGACAAGUUCUUAAAGUAGGACACAUCCCUAAGGCUCUUAAAGGGCUACAGUCAAGUUGGUAGAUUUAAAAAAAAAAAAAAAAGUAUUUAUGGCAUUGGAAUGCUUUUCUUGUUCAUGGCAGAAAGCAAAGGGAUUUUUAACAUGAAAAAAAUAUACAUUUUUGUGGAACCUUUCUUGUAAUUGGAAACAAAACACCCUCUGCAUUUUUGCACUGAGAAAUAUUUGUAGGGUAUCUUGGGGAGUAUGAUGUACCCUUCAUUUGAAAAGCAGUGGGCUACUAAAAGCCAAGGUACAACUUCAUUUUGUAAAGUUGAGACAACAUAUAUAGUAGUCUGUUGCAGAUGACUGUGCUACAUAUAAUAGCCACACUUGCAGAUUGUUAUGAAUAGCUAAGGCAAUAGAUGGAUUUUUUCUUAUAUGGCUGUUCCGAAGAGAAAUGGCACUCAUGUGAGUCUCAGUCACCAAGAAUCAGUGACAUUAAUCAAAACUCCUUGACAGGUGUAAAUGUGAGCAAAGAUGGGAUCUUGCUGAUAAAAAACUUGGGACCUUUCUCUGAGAAGCUGUGUGUUCUCCUAAUAAUGUAAAAUGUAUCAACAGUAAAUUCCUGGGGCUGUUUUCCUCGUUGUAAUUUGCCUCUAUAAUGGGAAAAAACAAACAAACAAACAAAAAAUCUGUGUAUCUGUCAAUGUAACAUUCUGGAAUGUAACAUAAGGGACAAUAUUCUCCCAUUUGGGCAGGGAAGAAAUGGAGGGGAGAGGGUUAGCCCAGCAAAAGGCAGAGUUUUUAGCAUCUCUCGCUUGGAAGAGAUGCUUGGAUUUUAUGCUUCCAAGCAUAAAACUGCUUGGAAAAGGCGGUGCCUUGCUGAGGGAGGGAAAAGCAGGAAGCGAGCAAAAUGUGUCUCCACUGAGUAAAGUGCCACUGCUUUCAGUAAAACUGAAAUUAACCUGUACUGUCAAGCCAAAUUUGUGUGGACACUGUGGAAGAUGUGGAGUGGGCAGAGGGGAUAAACGCAGCAUCAUCUGCCAGUUGACCAAGGUACUGAAUGUCACACUUGCUUUGGAGAAAACAGCUCUUUUUUUCUGACUGUACUUGAGAGCAAGUGAAUGUAAAUGUUGGCUUGGUUUUUAUCCACGUAACUGUACUGAGAAGGAGAAGAACAGACUGUAUGAACUUUUUCAUGGAAAAGCAUCUGCUUUCUAAGCCGCUCAUCAUUUUUUCUUAGUGCCUGCUUGAUGUUUGAGCUAGUGCAGGUAAGCAGAAGAAUGAAGAAGGUAAGAGUGCCUCCAAAAAGAGGGGACAUCUGACUGAAAAACAAUUUCCUUUUCUCAAGAGUGCUUGGAGUUGCUUUCUUGCCUAGAUCCAGGGAGGGCACUUUUUCCCUUCCCCAACUUCCCCACAAAAGGAUAUCAGAGACACUUUAUUUGGGGGGUGAAGCCGGGGGUGGGGGCAGUUGCCCUUUGCAAGUGUCCUUUAUACUCUGUUUGUAUGCUCUUUAUUGAAUCUCUCCUGCACAGGGGUGGGAGGAUGAUGUUAAGAAAUAGCAGCCAAUCAUUCACCCCAGCUUAGCGUGCUGAAAGUAUUGUGGUUUUGGAGAAGCUGCCGUGGGUGAAUAAUUUUAAACCAGGGGUGCAAUCGUUCGUGAGAGGCGGGUGGGUCCAGAGGCCCCUUGUGAAGGCGGAUGCCCAAGGAGGCUUUUCUUUUCUCAUUGUAAUUGCGACAGCUGGCGGUUGCUGCCCAAGUACGUUGACCAGCCCUUCUCCAGGGAGGCACUUCAGGAAGCUGGACCUUUAGAACUCUGAACAGCAGUUACAUUUCAGUCGUGGGGUAGGUUAAUCUGGGAGCACUUCUGGCAGCAGGUGGCUUUUUCUUCUGAAAGGUGAAAUGCAGGGCUUUGGAUCAAAGGCAACAGGAUGCAAGCGUUGCUUGUACGAUUCCACUAGAGGAACUCACAGAGCGUGUGGCUGCUGUUUAAAACCUUAAUUAGUGCUUUAUUUGGUUGACAUGAUCUCCUUAUAUCCUUGAGAAAUCUGAUCUGUGGAUUGAGUGUUUCUUUGCAAGCUAAUGAAAUUAAAGCUGCUGUGAGCAAAGAGAAUAAAAACAAGAGCUUGGAAUAGAAGGAUUCAUUUGCUCUCUUUUUUAGAGUGGUUCCCUUGCCACUUGGUUUCGUCUCAGAUUUUUUUUUAACUUUUACUUCUCUGUUCAGAUUUUCCAGAUUCAUUGUGCAGUUGUAGAACUCACUUCUGCUAUGUGAGAACAUGGUGCAAAGUACUUAGGGGAAAAAAAUUGCUCCACUUAUUUUUACUUAUCUCAAAUCCUUCAAAAGGUUUUAGAAGACUUCUUAAAAUACCAACGAUCCUCCCACAGUCAUUAAAAUUCUUCUGUUGCUGGCUGCCUCUGGUCCAAGUAAAUCCUCUUGAAGUUAAAAUGUAAUGGUGUUUGUUUCAGCAACUGUAGCGGUGGGGAGUUGUGUAUUAAAAGAAGUACAGUUGAUGAAAUCAUUUGCGGGUCAAAGAAAAUGUGUUUUUUUCCUACUUCGUGUUUUCAGUGGAGCAAAAGUCUGAAAACUAAUUGAAAAGAUUGCUUUUGAGUGAAGAAUUACAAAGUAAAGUUCUAACUCCCUAUUGCUAUCCUAUUUAGAGAAUCUGGGUGACCCACUGGUCCACAGAGCUGUUAAUCACAGCACCUACGUGAAAAGUUGGAAAUGUAUUCUGUGUUUGAUACACUUUGCAUUUCUUGUCAAGCUCUUUUUUGCUCCAUGUUCUCUGAGAUCUCUUGCUAGCUUCAGGCUGGCUGCUAACUGGGAUGCCCUAAGCUGGGCAGAGAGCUGGCACACGGAGAAAGGGCAGACCAAUUAGCUUUUUCAGUGAUUCCCAGAAACAAGCACACCUGUCUGUCCAUAGUGCACCAGUAACUGUGUUUUUUAAGUAGUUGCCUCAAGAUCCACUGUUGUUUUUUUUAACUCUGUCUUUCCUGGCCAGUCACAGCUGUGACUUAAACAAGCUGGCAGCAAAGGCUUGGCGUAGGUCACGUGGUGAAAAAGAAAGGACGUGCUAUGUUCAUGGUGCAAACUAAGCCUCGGUAACUUGGGUGUCAAAGAGGAAAGGACAUAUUUUUAUGUUGAGUAUCUUAGUUCUGCAUCCCCUCCAAAGUAACUUUUCAGUGUCAGCAUAAAUUCCUCUCGAUACAGCAUUGCACUGAGGUGAAGCUUUUCAGGUCACUCCGAGGAGCGUGUCUUUUAGUCUAUACCUCUGUGGUGGUCAAGGGGGUUGGCCAUGGCCAGUCUGGGUCCCAGGAGCAAUCUGUCGCGGGAAACUCAAGUGGGCUCUGCUUCUGAAGCAGGUUUUGAACUUUAUUCUGACCUCUGCAUUGCCCCAGAAGUAUCCUACCGGAUACCAGGCUUAACUACUGUAAAGACAGCUGGGGUUCCUCUCUGUGACACUGCCACCACCAGCUCUGUUCUCACUGCAGUAGGUGUCCACAGACUAAAACCGUGCAGCUUUUUCUGUACAAGAAAUGGAAGCCCACCAGGUGGGAUUAAAGAGGACACCACCAGCUGGAGAGGCUUUGAGGCAAACAUCCGUAGUCUGUCGUUCAAUCACUGUGAAUCAGGGUGAUGCAAAGCAGAGCUGGCAAAGGUGUUUCUCCAGGGCAUUAUCCCCACCCCAUGCAUGACCCUGUCCCUGUUGUACCUGUCAUUCCUUUGGGUCUCUCCUGACCGUGAGACAGGAGGAGCUGGCAGAGGUCAGCCUUGGCGGACUCACUUUUUUCUACCUGCUGCAGAAGUAACAUAACCCAGAUAUAGGCUUUUCCUUUCUGGUCCUCUUUAGGGCUUUCCUGUGGAGCAAUUUGCGGUUGUUCUACCCAUCAUGUAGAUAGGUAGAGUCUACCUAUCAUGUCCUUUCUGAUCAGUUCUUGCCAUUAGCAAUCGGCCUGUGCUAUACGCUGACGUCUGUGUGGAGGGGCUUUGCAACUGCAAUCUCAAUUGUUCAGCCGAAUUGCCCAGGCUUUACUGUUUGAUUGAUAGGGCUACCUAACAAUAGGUAGAUAGCUUAAAGAAUAUUAACUCUCACACCUGCCCGGCCAUGCCUCCUCAAGAAAAGCUGCCCUUUUCUUUCCUCCUAUUUUCUUCUCUUAGAAGGUUUUCCAAUAAGUUAUUCACCCAGCUCCAGUUUUCUAAGACUAUCAAAGAGAAAAAAAAGAGGUUGAUAUAAAAAAAAAAAAACAAAAACAAACAAACAAAAAAGGAUAUUAAGCUAUGCUGCUGUAUUCUGUGGUAUAUGGAAAUCCAACCCACUGAUAAGCUGCCAGCAUUUUAACAAGAGCCUUCAUGAAAUGUUCCUGUUUGCCUGUGAUAAACUUCUGAUAACCAGAAGUGUAUGUGGGAGACUCAGGAAUCUGUUCAUUUGUUUUCCUGUUUAAACGAAACCAUGUUUAUAACUCACAAGUAUGGAGAGAGCCAAUGAGGUUUGGAAAACAAUUUUGCUAUUAAGUGCACUUACUGUAAAUGUUUGGAGGUUGUAUCUAGUACAAUAAAGUAUUUAGCAUGUGUGA